ACGAACGCUGGCGGCGUGGAUAAGACAUGCAAGUCGAACGGGAGAAUUGCUAGCUUGCUAAUAAUUCUCUAGUGGCGCACGGGUGAGUAACACGUGAGUAACCUGCCUCUUAGUGGGGGAUAGCCCUGGGAAACCGGGAUUAAUACCGCAUACGAUUGAAAGAUCAAAGCAGCAAUGCGCUAGGAGAUGGGCUCGCGGCCUAUUAGUUAGUUGGUGAGGUAACGGCUCACCAAGGCGAUGACGGGUAGCCGGUCUGAGAGGAUGUCCGGCCACACUGGAACUGAGACACGGUCCAGACACCUACGGGUGGCAGCAGUCGAGAAUCAUUCACAAUGGGGGCAACCCUGAUGGUGCGACGCCGCGUGGGGGAAUGAAGGUCUUCGGAUUGUAAACCCCUGUCAUGUGGGAGCAAAUUAAAAAGAUAGUACCACAAGAGGAAGAGACGGCUAACUCUGUGCCAGCAGCCGCGGUAAUACAGAGGUCUCAAGCGUUGUUCGGAAUCACUGGGCAUAAAGCGUGCGUAGGCUGUUUCGUAAGUCGUGUGUGAAAGGCAGGGGCUCAACCCCUGGAUUGCACAUGAUACUGCGAGACUAGAGUAAUGGAGGGGGAACCGGAAUUCUCGGUGUAGCAGUGAAAUGCGUAGAUAUCGAGAGGAACACUCGUGGCGAAGGCGGGUUCCUGGACAUUAACUGACGCUGAGGCACGAAGGCCAGGGGAGCGAAAGGGAUUAGAUACCCCUGUAGUCCUGGCAGUAAACGGUGCACGCUUGGUGUGCGGGGAAUCGACCCCCUGCGUGCCGGAGCUAACGCGUUAAGCGUGCCGCCUGGGGAGUACGGUCGCAAGAUUAAAACUCAAAGAAAUUGACGGGGACCCGCACAAGCGGUGGAGUAUGUGGCUUAAUUCGAUGCAACGCGAAGAACCUUACCUGGGCUUGACAUGUAAUGAACAACAUGUGAAAGCAUGCGACUCUUCGGAGGCGUUACACAGGUGCUGCAUGGCCGUCGUCAGCUCGUGUCGUGAGAUGUUUGGUUAAGUCCAGCAACGAGCGCAACCCCUGUUGCCAGUUACCAGCACGUCAAGGUGGGGACUCUGGCGAGACUGCCCAGAUCAACUGGGAGGAAGGUGGGGACGACGUCAGGUCAGUAUGGCCCUUAUGCCCAGGGCUGCACACGUACUACAAUGCCCAGUACAGAGGGGGCCGAAGCCGCGAGGCGGAGGAAAUCCUGAAAACUGGGCCCAGUUCGGACUGUAGGCUGCAACCCGCCUACACGAAGCCGGAAUCGCUAGUAAUGGCGCAUCAGCUACGGCGCCGUGAAUACGUUCCCGGGUCUUGUACACACCGCCCGUCACAUCAUGGAAGCCGGUCGCACCCGAAGUAUCUGAAGCCAACCGCAAGGAGGCAGGGUCCUAAGGUGAGACUGGUAACUGGGAUG
rnacentral:rRNA from 1 species